UGUCAAUGCUUUCAGCAGAAUUUGGAAACACAACACUUCCUAAACAGAUAUUUUGAGGCUGUGAGGUUGAACGUUUGAGAGUAUAUCAGUGUGUGUGUUUGUGGUCUUUCUGUUUCUAGGUGGAAGCUGAAUUAGUGAGGAUGACUCCUGCUCCUGUCAUCUCUAAGCUCCUCACACAUCUUUACCUGCACAUGAGGAAAAUCACUCCUGUAGAAUGCAGAUGUUCAGAGGGAGAUGAUGCCACAUCUGGUCCAGCUGAUGGAAGGUCUUGAAGUUCUCUGACUGGCCUCGACUGAAGAUGGUCGUCUCACUGGAUUUAAGGUUCAGAUGCUCAGUAACAAACUCCACCAAUGAGCCAACAGGGAAGCUUUAGGUUUAUUAAAUGUUGCUAUGAAGGUAUUGCUGUUUUUCUUUGUGAAUGCAAUGUGCUCCAACUGAAACUUGAAUUAGAACUUAGAAGUAAAUCCUUCCAUCUGAAAGGAUUUAGUUGCAUUAAUAACCUCAUAACAUUCUAAUUUUUAUUCCAGUCUUGGUUGGAAAUAGAAUCUCUGUACUGAUUCAGGUAAAAACUGAACUUCACAGCAUGUUGGAGCAAAACAACCAGAUGAAAACUGUGAUGGUGUUGGAUUGUCAGACCGUAAUGUUGCAGCUCAAAGCAGCUUUUCUAGCUCAGUUCAUUCUGACAUUCAGCUAUGAAUCAACACAGCAGAUGGUGAUCCAUGCUGUGGAAGUCUCACAUCUCCUGAUUUAAUGGAGCUGCUUUGCACUUUUUACACUGUUUAUUCACCAACACUUUAUUUAAUAAAAGUCCCAUCUAGUUUUUAUGAGGAAUGUGAUGUUUUAAUUUCUCUGUGAAUAACUGCAGUCUAAUGCAACAGCUGGAGUUGUAACAUCUGUCCUGAUAUUGAUCAUGAAGUAUUGAUCAGAAUACUUAUGGUCAGCAGUCAUCCCUGAAGUUUUACAUUAAAAUCUUUACUUGUGUUGUGAACUUUGGUAAGAAGCAGAAACGUUAGCGUUGCCAUGGAUACAUGAGUGUUAAAUUCUGUCCAUGUUUCCAUUUUGGGAAAUUCAGUCCAGUUCCAGAAUGUGGAGGAAUUUAGUCUCAAUCACAGACAACAAAUAUUAUCUGAAAGUCGGGUUAUUGUUGUUUAUCAGCACAAUACAAAAAGAUUAAUGUUAGAAAUAAUCCAGUUAAGACUCUAGAAUAUCAUGAUUUAUGUAAAUUUACCUCAAUAAUAUGAAUGUUCAGGUUAAGAUUGUACAGUGAUAUUUAUUAUGUAAGUUUAGCUGAUUAAAGUUUAUGACUCUGCACUAAAAUAUUAUUUAAAUUGACAUCAUUAUUAUAAUAUUUAGGGUCAGACCCUACAGUAUUGAGAUUAAGAAAUCAAAUAUUCUAUAAAAUGUAAAUACACUGAACUCAUUUGGAUAUAUUUAAGUGAGACUCUACAAUAUUAUUUGACACAAAUCUAUCUAAAUCAAAAUUUUAAUUAUUUUCAUGCCAAACAUUUACUGGACUGAUUUAAAUAUUAAAAUCACUCCUUUCUAAUCCUCUGCUGUACGUUCAAACCUGAGGCCUUAAAUAGAAACACACAAGUAUCUGUUUGAAGGAACUUCUGCAGAGUCCUGGUUCCAGAACAUGAUGAUAGAAUUAUAGACAAACUUUAACAAAAGCUGCCUGAGAGUUUACAGGUUUUUAUGUUGGAUUUCUUCAGUAAUUUAAUGAGCGUUAUCAGCAAAAAUCAAGUGUUCAUUUGAUGAACUUCAUUUCCUAAAACAUCCAGAAUUGGAGCUCAUAUCUUUGGCAGCUGUAAAGUUUCUGCUCCUUCAAAGUUCACAACACAAUGAAUGAAUUCCUAAAACACUCUCAAUGCUGGAGAGCGUUUGUGAUGCUGAAGCAGUGAUCAGUUUUUCUGUUUCUUCUCUGGAGAUGCACAAUGAGGGACGUCUGCAGCAGACUGAGAAAGAGUCUCACCACAUCCUGACAUGAGGAAAAAGACUUUAUUGAAGACUACAAUGAGAAAAACUAUCAGACAGCAGACGGCUGCAUUCAAGGUGAGCUCUGAACAUUUGAUCUGGAACAGGAAUUCAAUAACGGCAGCAUGAGCUUCAUUUCAGUCUGUAGCUGCUGAAUUCAUGGAUGAAUCAUCUGGCACUAGAGAAGAAGACCAUCAAACAUCCACGUCAGCUGAUGGAGGUCCAAGAGUCUCACCAAACAAACAACCUACAGAGUGAAGACCUCGAAUCUGAUUGGACGGCCUCCUAUUCAGCCACAUUUUAGGCUGUUAGAUUGUUCCAGAUAAGACAAGUACAAGAUUCUUCAGAGCCGUUCUACCACGAGCCUGACAGGAAGAACUCCAACAGCUACUGAAUGUUCCUGUGGUCCCCUCAAGGCUACAGGAGGAGUCCUACGAGGACGAGCCGGUCCACCUGAUGGUGGCCAGUCGCUGCAGUUCAAAGCCAACACCGACUACGUGGACUUCUACUGGACCACACGGAGGCCUUCAAACUGGACCAACAAGUUCACCGACUCCCCGACUCGUGGGUCUGAGGACGCCGCCGAGCCUCGGUCCCAGCCUGGCCUCCUGUCUGUGGGUGUUUGAGUGCUGAGAGGUUUGUGGAUGCAUGUGAACGUGUCUGUGUUGAAACAGCAGCUUUUGACUCAGUAACGCCGGGAAAAACCAAGAGCUCCUUUAUUUGUGACUUCCACUAAAAAACUGAUGAAAAUAAGUUUGCCAGGGUUCUGACUGAUAACAGAUUAUUAAAUAAUGAAAAUAA